rnacentral:rRNA from 1 species
GACGAACGCUGGCGGCGUGCUUAACACAUGCAAGUCGAACGGAAAGGCCCUGCUUUUGUGGGGUGCUCGAGUGGCGAACGGGUGAGUAACACGUGAGUAACCUGCCCUUGACUUUGGGAUAACUUCAGGAAACUGGGGCUAAUACCGGAUAGGAGCUCCUGCUGCAUGGUGGGGGUUGGAAAGUUUCGGCGGUUGGGGAUGGACUCGCGGCUUAUCAGCUUGUUGGUGGGGUAGUGGCUUACCAAGGCUUUGACGGGUAGCCGGCCUGAGAGGGUGACCGGCCACAUUGGGACUGAGAUACGGGCAAGACUCAUACGGGAGGCAGCAGUGGGGAAUAUUGCACAAUGGGCGGAAGCCUGAUGCAGCAACGCCGCGUGCGGGAUGACGGCCUUCGGGUUGUAAACCGCUUUCGCCUGUGAAGAAGAGUGAGUGACGGUAAUGGGUAAAGAAGCAACGGCUAACUACGUG